rnacentral:lncRNA from 1 species
UAACAAAAAGCAGCCACAGAAUUAUUUCUUUUCUAACAAAGAGCAGCCUGAAAAAAUCAAGCUGCAGACACAGAUAAGCAAGCUGGAAGCUUGCACAGGUGAAUGCUGGCCAGCUGUGCCAAUAGAAAAGGGCUACCUGGAAGCCAGGUAUGUUCAACAUGGAGGCCCCAUCUUUCCUUUUCUUUGUCACCACGUGUAUAGUAAAAAGGUAGGCAACAAAGCGUGGCGUGGUGGCUCAUGCCUGUAAUCCCAGCACUUUGGAAGGCCAAGGUGGGUGGAUCACGAGGUCAGGAGAUCAAGACCAUUCUGGCUAACAUGGUGAAACCCCGUCUCUAGUAAAAAUGCAAAAAAUUAGCCAGGCGUGGUGGCAGGCGCCUGUAGUCCCAGCUACUCGGGAUGCUGAGGCAGGAGAAUGGCAUGAACCCAGGAGGUGGAGCUUGCAGUGAGCCGAGAUCAUGCCACUGCUCUCCAGCCUGGAUGACAGAGCCAGACUCCGUCUCAAAAAAAAAAAAAAAAAAAAAAAAAAAGGAAAAAAAAAAAAAGGUAGGCAACAUGGCAAUGGCUGGGUAGAGAACCCAUCUGCAUCAUAAAAGAUUAGGGUGGGGCGGCCAGCUUCAUCAGGGUGCUAUGCAAACAUCACACCUAGUCCUAACCAAUUCUUUGUGUGCCAUGCAAAUGGCGCAAUGGCCUGGCCUAUCUUUCGUGCCCUAUGUAAAUCAGACACCGCAUCCUCAAACCCAUCUAUAAAUCCUUCUGCAUUUCAUGGUGGUAGCAGAAACCCAUUCGGGACCCCUCUGUCUGCAGAAGAGAGAGCUAUUCUCUCUUUCGCCUAUUGAACCUCCACUCUUAACUUCACUCUUUGUGUGUGUGCGACCUAGUUUUCCAUGGUCAUCCGACAACAAACCUCCCGUAUUAUCCCAGGAAAACAACACCACUUCAAAUCCCAGCACUUUGGGAGACUGAGGUGGGCGAGUCACUUGAGGCCAGGAAUUCCAGACCAGCCUGGCCAACAUGGUGAAACCCCGUCUCUACUAAAAAUACAAAAAUUAGCUGGGCAUGCAUCUCUACUAAAAAUACAAAAAUUAGCUGGGUGUGGUGGCGUGCGCCUGUAGUCCCAGCUACUCAGGAGGCUGAGGCAGGAGAAAAAGGCUGCAUUACAGAACCAUAUGGCUUUAAACAUACUCACUGUAUCCCCUGUGAUAAUACACGGGGAACCCAUGUUAUCAUAAAGACAAAGUGUUGUGUUUCUGUUCUGGAAGAAUCAGAUAACAUUUUCUUCAAAAGAUCGAUGAAAAGAGGGAAAUGUGAAAUUAAACAAUUCAAACUUAAAGCUGUUGGAACUUUAAAUUAUUCUGAGCCUUGAGAGGAAUGUGGCUAUGUGGCCUGA